UGGUGCUGCUGAAGUUUUUUUUUUUUUUUUCCCCUUUCUGAUGCAACACAUUUGACUAUUUCACACAUAUGGCAUUAUGUGAAAUAUUCAAAUUUCACUCAGUGGAUGCAGAAUAUCUGCUGUAGUCACAUAAGUGUGUUUGGUUCAGACCCACAUCAUACCAUUAAGUGACCCACACGGGACGGUAAAUUGGUCUUAGAAGGGCAGUAGACUAUAUUUGAGUCUGGACCCCCUGAAAGAGCCUUGUGUGGUCAUUCAACCAGAGAAGCAUCCACAUUUAUCAAAGGAACAAACUUUCCCAGCACAUCGGUCUGGGCCUUGAGGUGUUUCAUGGCUGGUCUGGAGCUUGAAAUACAUCGAACCCUGGGGCUCUUCUGGGCUUCCAAGAGCUGCAAAAGAAGUCUAAUGUCGAAAAAAGGGGCUACUAUGAACUCAGAGUGUCCAAAUUUGCCUCAUCACCGAACGCUGCAGGAAAGUUCUUGGCCCAUUCAUUCUUGCCUUCACCAUCCAGAAUGCUCUACGACCUUUGCUCUACAUGUUGCAUGGACAUUAACUCCCUUGCCCACUCAGAAAUGUUUUCUUCCAUGCUUCUGCCUUUCUCAAAUCGCCAGCAGCUCUCUGCCUGCUCAGCACUUCAUGGUAGUGUUUAAAAGCCCUCAGUUCUCUUCAAGACUUAGAAGCCCCUGCCAAUGGUCCCAGGACACCUUCUCUAUCCUGUCCUUCCUGAACAAAUCUUUUGGAAGACUGAGUGCCACACAGUUUCAACUUUCUUUUUUUUUUUUCUCAUUUCCCUGCCUGCUGAAAUCUGGCUGUGUCCUCACCAUGCUGUAUUGAUAAGACCACCCAUAUCUCUGUGUUGCUAAAUCCCAGGCUUUUUUUUUUUUUAAUUUUUUGCUAUUUGGCUUCUUUGAAACAUCCAUGCAGAUGGUCACUCCCUCUUUCUUGAAGUGGUUUCUCUUUUUGGCCUCAUGUGCUCCUGGGUUUCUUCCUCCCCUUUUAUAUCUUUCUUGCCUCUUGUAUGCGGUGCGUUUGUAUUUUUCAGUCUUUCAGAAGCACUCUUCUCUUCCUCAUUCCCCUCUGUGGCUUGGAUGACAACCCUGCACAGAUGCUUACCAUCCUCCCAACUGCAGCCUGGACUUUCUCCCGAGCCCCAGGACUGUAGAUCUUGCUGACCGUUUCUCCUUGAUACCUCAUACCCAAUCCAUUCAUCAUCUCCUCUGACCCGGGUAAGUGUCAUAGCUUCCUAUCUUUGUGAAUAGAACCUCUUGGGACCAAAGUCAGAAAACUUAGGGCUCAUAUUUAAACCUUCCUUUUCUUUCCCCAGACUCAUGAUCAGUAUGCCCAGUGGUGGCUUGAAUCUGCCCACCUUGCUCCAUCUCCUUCCUGCUGAAGAUGCUUUAACAUGCACAAUACCCCUCUGUCUCCAGUCUGGCUCAUACCUACUUCUUCAUGACUGUAACAAUCUUUUCUCAAACCUGAAGUUCUUUAAAGGGAACCCUUCCAUGACCUCUAGUAUCCUGAAGGCAAAACUCAAAGUCCUCUGAGGAGCCUGUUUUGUCAUCUCCUAGUUUAUCUAGAAAACAAUGUACGGGAAUGUUCAACCCUCCUUCCUAGUUUACAAAUGCUACUAUAAAUUACACCAAUUAAAAUUAACCUGCAUAAAAUUUUAAGUAAAUUUAAAAAUUCAAGACAUGAAGUUUACAUAAUGAAUGCAUACAUUUAAAAAUUAAAAUGCAUACAUUAACCUUGGCCUCCAAAUCCCUUGACAGCUUCAAGGAAAACUGAUGCGUCAGCAAAGCACAACAUUGGUCUAGUGGUUUGGAGAACACUCAAGGGAACUGAUAUCCUGGUUCUAGACCAUAAAGACAGAGCAGAUUAAGUACCUUUCUUCUGAGGGAGGAAUGGAGGUUUCCUUUCCCCUGGCCUGCAAUCUGUUUCUCUUGAAACUCUAGAGGAGUUCCAAGAAUCUUAAGUGUUUUUACACACGUCCUCCCCUUCCAAGGGUCUGUAAACCCGAGGGCUUCCUACACGUAAAAGAACUAAUUGCAGUUAUGAGGGUGGACAAGUCACAAGGCUUUGCAUUUUCUCGGGUCCCCUCCCCCCCAUUGGCAUGCCCACCAAUAAGUGAAUAUUGCAGGUUCGUCUUCCAAACGGAUCUUCUGUGGGCAGCCUCUCCCCAUGCCUCUCACUGCCGUGUGUGCCCAAAGCACUAUUACCUCCCAUGAGCAUUACUAUCAUCACCUUUAUCUGGUAUCUUUGAGUCUGGUAUCAACUUUAUCUGGAAUCCAUGAGCACUCAUUCCCAACCACCAUCAGAGAUUUUUUUUUUUUUUUAUCUUUUUGCCUUUUCUAGGGCCGCUUCCUGCAGCAUAUGAAGGUUCCGAGGCUAGGGGUCGAAUCAGAGCUGUAGCCACCGGCCUAGGCCAGAGCCACAGCAACAUGGGAUCUGAGCCACGUCUGCAGCCUACACCACAGCUCACGGCAAUGCCAGAUCCUUAACCCACCAAGCGAGGCCAGGGAUCAAACCUGCAACCUCAUGGUUCCUAGUCAGAUUCGUUAACCACCACACCACGACGGGAACUCCGAGAGAGCUUUUUAAAUUUGUAUUUACUUAUUUAUUUAUUUAUUGUCUUUUUAGGAACCACACUCACGAAACAUAGAGGUUCCCAGGCUAGGGGUUGAAUCGGAGCUACAGCUGCCAGCCUACACCAGAGCCAUGGCAAUGCCAGAUCUGAGCUACAUCUGUGACCUACACCACAGCUCACGGCAAUGCUGGAUCCUUAACCCACUGAGCGAGGUCAGGGAUGGAGCAUGCGUCCUCAUGGAUGCUAGUUGGAUUUGUUUCUGCUGAGCUGUGAUGGGAACUCCCCACAGCUAGCUUUUAAAAUGCAAAAUAGACCGUGUCCCCUUCUUGCUUAGGCUUCUCCAAUCACUUCCCACUGCAUGUUUCUUGAUCUGCUUCAUCACUGUGACCUCUAAGACCCACAUCAUCCUAUCACAGUUCCUACCUGACACUCUGAGCUCACCGUGUACCCACCAGGCUCUCAGGGUGUUGCAACCACAUCAGCCUUCUUGGUGUUUCAGACUCUUUUCAAGCCGUUUGAGGAGCUGCUUCCUCUGCCUAGAAGGUGCUUCCCCUAGACCCUCCUGGACCAGCUCCUUCACAUCAUCUGUUCAAAUGACACCGUGCAGAGAAGACUUCCUUCUAGAAUGAUGCUUAUGUAACUUAGUGUCUGGCUAAGCUUCAUAGAGCUUUUUACUGUAGAAAAUAUGUCAUUUGAAUAUACCUUUCCAUUAUAUGCCUCCUCCCACCUGAACAUAAGGCUCACGAGGAGAUGCUGAUCAUCAUUAGUUACCCCUGGUGCUUAGAUCACUGUGUUGCAUACGGGGAGUUCCCGUUGUGGCUCAGCAGAAACGAAUCUGACUCAUCCAUGAGGAGGAAGCUUUGAUCCCUGGCCUCACUCCAUGGGUUAAGGAUCUGGCAUUGCCGUGAGCUGUGGUGUAGGUCACAGAUGCGUCUUGGAUCUGGCGUUGCUGUGGCUGUGGUGUAGGCUGAUGUCUACAGCUCCAUUUGGACCCCUAGCCUCGGAACCUCCAUAUGCCUCAGGUGAGGCCUUAAAAAGACAAAAAAAAAAAAAAAAAAAAAAAAAGAAGAACAUUGUGUUGCAUAAAAUAUGCACUCAUAUAUUUGCUGAAUAAUUGAAUGAAUGAAUGAAUAAUUAUAAGGGAAUUCAACUAGUGCAUUUGAGGGGAAAGAAGUGCCUAAAUGUAACAUUAAAAGUUGUUAACGUAGUUCUAUAUGUGAAAACAAUUAACUCUUAAAUAUUGAUAAAAGCUAUAGCCUGCUGUACAGAUUUUAACCAAAAUAUAUUGGUAGUGAAUGUUCAGUGAAUGAUCCAGCAUUCUAACUUUUCUUGAAAUUUGUUGUUCUUAAUGGUUGAAAGUUUGACCCCCCCCAAAUUCUAGUGUACAACAGCCAUUAAGUGUAUUCAGUUACAAAGUUGAGAUAAUGAAAUUGAAUAAAAUGCCCAAAUGUGAUAUCAAUAAAAAUAAAAAGACCAAUAAAUUAGUUUUGUGAUUAGGUGUUUUUCUCACUCUUUCAAAGUUGUUAUCUCUGUGCUUUUAUAAUUGUUCAAAGCCAGUCACAUAAAGUUAAAAACAAAAAGCGUGUCUAUGUUUUUGUCAGAUAAAGAUAUUUCUUUGUACAUUAAAAAGGU
rnacentral:lncRNA from 9 species